rnacentral:rRNA from 1 species
GACGAACGCUGGCGGCGUGCUUAACACAUGCAAGUCGAACGGAAAGGCCCUGCUUUUGUGGGGUGCUCGAGUGGCGAACGGGUGAGUAACACGUGAGUAACCUGCCUUUGACUUUGGGAUAAUUUCAGGAAACUGGGGCUAAUACCGGAUAGGAGCUCCUGCUGCAUGGUGGGGGUCGGAAAGUUUCGGCGGUUGGGGAUGGACUCGCGGCUUAUCAGCUUGUUGGUGGGGUAGUGGCUUACCAAGGCUUUGACGGGUAGCCGGCCUGAGAGGGUGACCGGCGACAUUGGGACUGAGAUACGGCCCAGACUCCUACGGUAGGCAGCAGUGGGGAAUAUUGCACAAUGGGCGGAAGCCUGAUGCAACAACGCCGCGUGCGGAAUGACGGCCUUCUUGUUGUAAACCGCUUUCGCCUGUGACGAAGCGUUAGUGGCGGUAAUGGGUAAAGAAGCACCGGCUAACUACGUG